rnacentral:rRNA from 1 species
CAGCCGUAAACUAUGCGCGUUAGGUGUAUCGGUGACCACGAGUCACCGAGGUGCCGAAGGGAAACCGUGAAACGUGCCGCCUGGGAAGUACGGUCGCAAGGCUGAAACUUAAAGGAAUUGGCGGGGGAGCACCACAACGGGAGGAGCGUGCGGUUUAAUUGGAUUCAACACCGUAAACUCACCAGGGAAGACUGUUACAUGAAAGCCGAGUUGAAGACUCUGCUAGAUUUUCAGAGAGGUGGUGCAUGGCGUAGACGUCU